ACCCGUUUCCCAUUUAGGAAAAAAUAAAGUGCAUCUUGCUGCCAGCACGGUAUUCUUGGGGCAAACAGAAAAUAGGUAAAUUUCCUCCAAGAUCAAUUUUUAUCUUAUAUUCUGCUUAGUACCCAUACUUUCUUCUCUUUUUUACAGCUUUUUGCAUUUUGUAGACCUUAUUACUCUGGUAAAAUACUGCAUUUAUCAGACCUUCCGCAAAUAGCCCAGAAAUGCUCCUCAAAAAGUUGACACCUCACAUUGUGACUUUGGCACAAAUAUGCAGAAUAGAUGGAUUGGUUCGUGCAUAACAGGAAAAAAAUAGGAAUGUUAAACACCCCUCUACCUUCUACAUUUAUUUAUCUUUAUUUUAAAAUAAAACUUUUUGGGUUAAGCCAGUUUUUUUUUUUAAUUCAACUUGUAUUAAGUUGUCAAAACCAAGAGAAUGAGACCCUACCUGAAAAGAAGUCUCAGCGCAGAAAAACAAGUCCCCCAUCAGGUGGUUCUUACCUGCCGGUGGACUGUGUGUUUUACUUCUAACACGACUUAUUCCCAGCUUCAAGCAGAUGGUUAUAUAUAAAAGUCCAACCUGGGUAUUGAAAGAAUGCAUUCUUUUUGUGGAGUAUUGACUCUGAUUCUCUAUGAUGUCAUCUUGUGAACCCAGGGCUUUACUUAGUAGAUUUUAACCAAGGAGUUUGAAAUCUUGAUUAUCAUCCUCUCAUCUGCUCCACUCUCUGUCAAAGUCUUUGUCAAAACUCCAAGUUUGUUGAUAAAAGAUUGUGCUUUCAGUUCUCAUUAUAAUGCAGUUUCUCCUUAAGCCCGUAUUUCUUUGAGUACAUGAGUAAAUGAGAGAAUGAGUGAA
rnacentral:lncRNA from 1 species